rnacentral:snoRNA from 1 species
UUUUAAUCAGUUAAGCCAACAAUUCUCUAUUCUCUGCGCGCACCCAUUGUGCAAACAGCAGCCUCCUCAGUCGGAUAUACAGUCUGUUGCUUGUCUGGGUUGCCCUAGGGGACCUUGGAGAUAGCU